rnacentral:rRNA from 1 species
UACGUAGGGAGCAAGCGUUAUCCGGAUUUACUGGGUGUAAGGGGUGCGUAGGCGGCCCCUUAAGUCUAAAGUGAAAUUUCGAGGCUCAACCUCGGAGCUGCUUUGGAAACUGAGGGGCUAGAGUGUGGGAGAGGAAAGCGGAACUUUGAGUGUAGCGGUGAAAUGCGUAGAGAUUCAAAGGAACACCAGUAGCGAAGGCGGCUUUCUGGACCAUAACUGACGCUGAGGCACGAAAGCGUGGGGAGCAAACAGGAUUAGAUACCCUGGUAGUCCCUGAG